rnacentral:lncRNA from 1 species
AACAAAAAUGAUUUUUUUUAGGUGGAAAUGCUAGAAGAAAAGAAAAGGACGAAAGCACACUGACAAGAGAAACGGAAACCAGCCGCCUUAAAUGGCCCAUCAUGCUCAUCUGGAAAGAAAAAAACACCAAAAAAAAGCAUCCUCAAAGAAUAAAACCAAGCAAAACAGUACUUUAAAAGUUAACAAAGAUCUUGGAAAGAAACCAACACAUCAGCAUAGGAAAAUAGUUUCUAAAUCAAAAAGAAAUGGAAAAAACCGAGCAGCUCAAGAAAAGAUUCUGGUAGGAAUAUAAUUAUUCUUUUUUUUAUAUUUUAUAUAAUGAUCUGAUUUUUAGCUCACCUGGCCCUAUGAGCCAAGUCAACUUUUCUCAUCACUAGGCGUUCGUCGUCCGGCGUCUUUCGUCCGUCGUCCGUCAACUUUUACAAAAAUCUUCCCUGAUGAAACUUCUGAGCCAAAAUUUAAGCAAACUUGGCCACAAUCAACAUUGGGGUAUCUAGUUUAAGAAAUAUGUCCAAUGAUCCGAACAACCAACCAAGAUGACCACCAUCGCUAAAAAUAGAACAAAUGGGGGGGGGGGGAUUUUGGCUUAUAUCUCUGAAUCCAAAUCAUUUAGAGCAAAUUUGACAAGAAACAAUUGGUUUUCAUGUCUAGAUCUAUCUGUCCUGAAAUUUCAGACGAUCAGACAAGCUGUAAAUUGUUUGGUUUUUGUCCCUGAAUAAAUAAUUUUAAGGACAUUUUAGUUAUUAUCUUGAAUAUUAUUAUUGAUAGAGAUAGAACUGUAAACAGCAAUAAUGGUCAGCAAAGUAAGAUCUACAAAUGAGUCAAAUGACCAAAAUGACUAAUUGACCCCAUAAGGAGUUAUUGCUCUUUAAAGUCAAAUUAUAUAUAUUUUUUUCGAAAUCUUUAACAAAAGUCUUCUCCUGAAAUAACUGAGACAAAUUUAAUCAAACUGGCCAAAAUCAGCAUUUUGGUAUAUAGUUUAAAAAAAAAUGUGUCCGAUGACCCUGCUAACCAACCAACAUGGCAGACAUGGCUAAGAAUAGACAAUAGGGGGAAAUGAAGCUCUUGACUUGUAUCUCUGAAAUUAAAGCAAAAGUUACAACGGUUGCAUUAUUUCAUGCUCCAAUUGUAAAUAAAAAUAUCAAUGUGAGCAAUGGAGCAUCUUGUUCUAUCUUACAAUCACCUUUUACUAAGUGUUCCGAGCGACUGAACCGAACCCAUCUGGUUGAGUUGGAUUCCUCAAUAGAUGUCCUCUAUACUGUCUGUUUUAGCAGUAUUGACUCAACACAUGGAAAUAUUUUGCAAUAAUACUUCAAAGAAACUGGUCCGUAACGGAAAUUCACACUUCAUUUACACCUUAAAUGCUGGUUUACCUUUCUACAAACACAAUUCAUAUAAAUUGAUUCCCUACGAAAUCAACAGUUGCUGUUAUUAACAAAGUUACACUUGUUUUUAUUUAGAUUGAUAUUUUAUAGUGUGUGUUUCUAGGUUGUGAUGUUAUGCUACUGUUUCUGAAAAGGGAGAAGAUUUGGUACCAUUAAAACGUUUAAACCAUGAAUCUGGAAUCUGAUGUUAAGUGGUUGACGUUUAUGUAUGUGGUACAUUUCUAGUUUCUCUUUCUAAUAAGACCACAAAAAAAUUGGGAUCGUAUAAUACUAUGAUGUUGUCGUCUACGUGGUGGUCGUCGUCCGAAGACACAAUGGUUUCCGGACAAUAACUUUAGUUUACGUAAAAGGAUCUUUAUGAUUUUUGUUAGAAUGUUCAAUAUCACAAAAAAAAAAGCCUGUGAUAAACUUUGGGCAUUAGUGUCCCAACCGUUUAGGAAUAAGAGGCCGAAAAGGGUCCUAAACAAGCAUUUUUCUAGUUUCAGGAUAAUAACUUGUGUAUGAAUAUUUCUAUUGGUUUGAAAUUGUACCAAAAAUGUUAAAUACCACAAGUAGAAGGUUAGGAUUCUGUUUAGGGGUUAUGGGACCAACCAUUUAAGAAUGAAAAGGGGUCCAAAACCAGUCUUUUUCUAGUUUCCAAAUAAUAACUUGUGUGUAAGUGUAUGGAUCUCUCAAAGAGAAUGAUAAGAUUGAGUUUGGGGUUUAUUGCCCCAAACAUGAAGGAAUUAGGGGCAAAAAGGGCCAAAAAGAAGAAUUUUUCUAGUUUCAGACAAUAACUUGUGUUAAAGUAUAUGGAUCUCGCUGAAAUUGUACAGUAAGGUUCCAGAUGAAAUCUUCAAUUUGCACACUGACAGUAACGAGCAAUAGCUAUAGAUUUGCAAGAUUUUUGACCAAAUUUAUUUUGUGUCAAAACCUAUAUUAUGUCAAACAUUUGACCACAUUCCAAUUUCAGACAGUACCAAGCUUGAAUGUUGUGUCCAUACUUGCCCAACUGUUCAGGGUUCGACCUUUGCGGUCGUAUAAAGCUGCGCCCUGCGGAGCAUCUAGUUUAUGUUUUUACACUAGUAAUUUUUGGGCCCUUUAUACCUUGCUGUUCGGUGUGAGCCUAAGCUCUGUGUUGAAGACCUUACCUUGACCUAUAAUGAUUUACUUUUAUAACUUGUGACGUGGAUGGAGCGUUGUCUCAUUGUCACUUAUACCACAUCUUCCUAUAUUUAUUAUCAUUUUACAUUACUGUGUUAUUAAUGAUUCGAUUCAUGCAUAAUUUUGAAAUUUUUUUGUCUGUUGUUUCUUACACUUUAUCAUCUUCGCUUGACAAUGGUUACAAUGUUAUGCCCAUUUCAACUACACAGCGAUUUCUUUUAAGAUGGUACUCUGACUAAAAUCUUGUAUAGGUUCUAAUUGGACGAUACAGGAUUGCAAUUACUUCUUAUUGAAAGCUUAUCCAAUUUGGUGUAAAAAAAUCCAGAAAAUCAAAAUAACAUUUUACAAAUUAUAGAAAAUAUGUUUAAAAAUCUUCACCUCAAGGUCAUUAAAAUUUACUUUUUUCAUUAAGUGAAAGAUUACAUGUAGUCGAUGUUUUAAGCAGCAUUUUAAUAUCACCGUACGGCCUUCAACAAUGAGCAAACCCAUACCCAAUAAUAGUCGAUCAGCUAUACAAGGCCACGAAAUGACAAGUUUAAAUCAAUUCUAACAAGAAAACCAACGGCAUAAUUCAUGUACAAAAAAAUUAAACUAAAAAAAAAAAAUAUGUAUCGCAUCAACAAACGACAAUCUCUGAAUUACAGGCUUCUGACUUGGGACAGGCACAUACAUACAGAAUGUGGCGGGGUUAAAAAGUAAAAUCACAAAAAUAUAAAACUCCGAGGAAAAAUUCAAUCGGGAAGUCCCUAAUCACACAUGACAAAAUCAAAUGACAAAACACAUCAAACGAAUGGACAACAACUGUCAUAUUUCUGACCUGGUACAAGCGUUUUAAGUGUAGAAAAUGGUGUAUUGAACUUGGUUUUAUAGCGCUUAACCUCUCACCUAAACAUGUUAGCGGGAUCCAAAACCUCUCUCAUAACCUGGGAAAGUGGCACAACAGUACAACAUACAUUUGUAAGAACGAACUAUAAAUUCAGUUGAAAAAGCCUAACUCAUCAGGUGGAUAAAUAGAAAUACAUAUAAACAAAACACACUGUGGACGUGGCCGGGUACUUGUAUAUCCCAACAACAAAAAACACUAUCCAUUUUUGCUGCAUACCAUGUAUAUGGUUUUGAUUGUUAUGCAACACGGACAUAUCUAGUAACAGGAAAUGCUACCUAUUUUUCCUGUAUAGUCUUCGAUGAGAAAAAAUGAAGAAUAUACCACUGGUACCCUAUGGGAAUUGCAUUAUAGGAAUAAUAUGUUUCUUUUGUAACAUUCUUGACCAACGGAAACACUUGCACUCUCUGAAGUGUUGAGGUUUUAAAAAUGAUUUUGUCCACUAGUAUAACAUACAUUCCUGGAAGCAGGAACCAGAAGGAUACGUUGAUAUUCAAACAUUUGCGUGUGAAAGUAACAUAUAGGAACUUCAAUUAGUUGAUUAAGAACUUUCAAAUUGUCACUCAUUGUUGUCUUAUAAUGUUUUUGGGUUUCAGACUUGAUGCAUAAUCACCACAUGGCAAUCGUUUAUUAUUUUUUCUACAUUCACACAUGCUCAUUAAACAUGUUAAAGGCCCUUCGAAUCAUUUUAAUUGAAUGCUGCAAGUUACAAAUGGGACCAAUAUAAUCAUUACCUCACUGAUACAAAAUUCUAUCUUAAACAGCCAAGAGUGGAGAGGAUGGGACUUGGUCAUAUCCCUUAGCCAGAUUAUAUAUAACUUAAAAUAAAUUUAUUUUGUUUUUAUGAAUAUUGGUGUAUUAUUUGAGUUAAGUUCAUGCUAUUGAUACAUCUUCAUGUUUUAGACAGAGAACAUAAUUAUGCGGUACUUUACUUUUUUUUUCAGAUAAAACAAAGGC